UCAUCAACUGUGUAAUAGUAACCAAACUAACCUACUAUGCUUGUAUUUGGUACUUUUAACCCCCCUCCUUCAAUAUUUUUCUCUCAUAACAAACACUCUUCUUCUCUUUCUUCUUUUUCUUCCUUAUGUUUCUAAUCUUUUCCACUUUCACUUCACCUUCUUCUUUAACAAAAUGUUUUCUUCUUUUUUCUGCUUUGUCUUUCUCAUCUUCAACUUUGUUUUUGAUGAUCUAUUAUAUUGUAUUUUGUGUUUUGCAGAUAUAUUAAAAGUUGUUCAUCUUCAUCAAGAAAUAAAGUUGCAAAUCUAUACCGACAGGAACCCCAUGUCGAUCUAGGAGCAAACAUGAUAAUUGAAGCAGAGAUCCAUGAUAUCAUCACUUGCAAGAAGAUAUCAUCAUUUUUAAAAAAACCAUCUAGAAGUGGGAGAAAAAUUUGUGAGUAAGAUAGUAAAUGGUUUAGAAGAAGUAGAAGUGUCAGAGAGAAAGAGAGAGAUUGAGAAUAAAAUAACAUAAAAGAGUUAAGAAGAGGUGUGGGAGAAAUAAUUAAGUGUAACAUAUAUUAUAAAUCAGAAAUUUUCAUACGGUAGAAAUACGAAAAGUUGAUUCUUUAUAAAAUAAUAUUUUAAUUUAAAUUAUACCACAAAUGUAUUAAUUGAAUGAAAUUAUGUCAGAUUACAUGUGGUUUCUAUUAAACUAGUAGGAAACCCGUGCUAUCGCACGGGUCUGGUCGAGGUUUCACAUUACAUGUAUCUAAAUAUCACUUGUAAAGUUCUUUUAUAUAAAUCAACCAUAU